UCCUGGGGCUUGCACGGAUGUGCUCCAAAGGUCUGUAAUUUAAUGCACAACACUGUUUUGCAACAGGAAAAUUGCUUCAAAGUGUGUCAGUCUGCAUGAUAGCUGUGCCUAUGAGGAUCAGCAUGGAAGGGUUGUGUGUUUACUUGGUGAUAUGGCUAAAACUUCAGCAAACUUGGCUAAAACUUCAGCAAAAUCAUUGGAGGAUAAAGCUGAGUAAGGUCAUUGUCACGGGCCACUUUUUAUAGUAUUUGACUUCUGGGUCUCCUCAGACACGCAUGUGUCCAUUACAGCUAACAGAAAAAUAUUCCAUGUCACCUCAGACCAAUCCUUCAGGAACACUGAGAAAAACCGUGUCCACAGCUGGGAGAUCUACCCUUCGGCAAGAGAUGUCAACAAGAAGAAGCGCCAAUGUGGCAUGCCACAGGCUCCCGAGGGCAGCAGGAUCCGGCGUGUGUCACCUCCCCGUGCCAUCCUCAGGGCAGAGCAUCUCAUGGCACUGGGGCUGGGGAAUUGGGCUUAAGGAUCAAACACAACAAGAAAAUCAGCAGCAAACAAUGCAACAUCUUCCAGACAGAGACCAGGAUCCUGACAUCCUCAUCAAGCAGACUCCCACUGAAGCCAGCUACAGCUUUGCCUGAGCUAGAAUUUGGCUCUUUGUGAAUUAUCCAACACAAUCCAUUGACUCUUUAACCCAUAAAUUGUCAAACUCUAUUAUUUCCAGCUAGGCAGAUGGCUGAAAACAAAUAACCUGUAAGAUAAGGUACUCUGGCUCCAGUUUUAGGUAAAAUUAAAGUUUGCUAAACACAAAUGUUACAGUUACAUAAAUAACAAAAGAAAAAAUCACCACGAAGCCAAAAAUCAUUUUUCUGAAAAAACAUAGAGGAUCAAUUUCUCCAGUUUAGUAUUACCAAACUUGGCAGUAAUUCACAUUUGAAGUAUAAUGAUGUCAUCUGGUUGGCCUUUUCCCAUCGCAAACAGUAAAUCUUAAAAUCUGGAGAGAUCUUUUAUUUGGUUAUUCAUAUUGUACUGCAUCAAGGGGUUACAACACAUGUGCCUGGGCUUAUUAAAAUCAUCUGGAAGAGAGGAGCUUGUUAUUUAAAGGCGCAGUGCUCGAGACCAG
rnacentral:lncRNA from 1 species